ensembl:lncRNA
AAAAAAAAAAAAAAAAAAAAGCAACCUAAAAAGCAAAAUCCUAAUUCUGUUAACCUAUAAAUGCCAUGAUAUUUCCUUCAUAUUUUGCUCCCUUUCUUACUAAAGGUGAAACAAAUAGCUCUGCCAAUAAUAUUCAUAUGCACAAUGCACAAAGUCAUUCUCUUUUGUCUGCACAGAAACUGUAUCAUUAAGAUAAUAACAAAGCAAUACCAAAAGUAAAGCCAGAUUGUGGCUGUUGCUGAGUGCAGGCUCUUAGUUGCCUAUUUCUUCUAAUAUUUGUAGAUAUUUAAAACACGAUAAAAAGAUGCUGUUCCCAGUGUGUCCAGACUGCAUGGCAAAAUAUGCCCUAAAAAUAGCAGUUCUUGCCUGUGUAUUAGGUUUAGCAAUAGGCAAAUGCUAAAAGCAAUGUUGUUGGAAAAAUAGUUCGGGUGUAUAUCUUUGUAUGCUUGCACAAAUACCAACUUCACCACAUGCUGCAUUAGCUGUGCCAUGAUGAACACAUCAUGUUAUUUCCUCUUUCCCAAAAGAAGCAGUCUUCAUUCUGGAACAGAAAAUCCACUGCCCUCAAGUGUCCUCAGGGACACAGUUGGGAUGUAAAGUUCAAUCAAGGAGACAAAGACAUGAACAAAGAACAGAAAACCACAGCCCUUCAAUUGGCACCAGUGCUCACGUCCCUGCAGCUACGCUCAAGCAGCCAAACCUGGAGUUAAUUAAACUUUGGUCCUAAUCCGUGUCUUCCCCCCGUGAAAAAUGAAAGUUAAAUACCAGGCUUUUCCAUGGGUUCAUAUAUUGAAUUUUCUGGGGCACAGACCAUGUGCUGCAUUGCCGUAUGUGGAUUGGCAGACACCGAGUUAGGGUGAGGGCACUACUCUGUCUCCCAGCCCUUAUUCCUGUAAUACCCAAUGGAACACACCAUGUCCUCUCUGUUGGACGAUUGAUGUGGUUAGUGCUUUUAUUUUCAUCACUUACGUAUGUCUGCUUCUCACUGCUGGGCAGUAUGAAGCUCUGAAUGCCCAGUCCUCCAUUCAGUGAUCCCCGAAUGCCAUCAGUUUUCCCUCUGGUUCAGUGCUGGCAUUUGUUGUGCCGCAAUGACAUUGCAGUGUGCUCACAGCUGCCUGCGCUCUCGCCACACUCGUUCCUCUCUGCUGGUGCCCUUGGGGCAUCCGAAGGCCGUGGUGACUGCACAGAGCUUCUGAACUCCAGAGCUUUAAAAGAGAAGGAUAUUUAGCGUUGUAAUAAGUCUCUGUCUCUGUAUGAGCUGAACGUGCACUGUUUUAGUACCAAAAAAUUUGCCGAAUCCCUCCAUUACUUAAGGUUUGUCUUCUACAGAUCUCAGAACUCAGAGAAAACAGCAGAAUGAAAAC